AAGCAAACUGGUUCUAUCGCUGUCGCAUCUUCGGAUGGGAGAGAGGAAAGUCCGGGCAACAUAGAGCAACACGCUUCCUAACGGGAAGGCUCUUACGUAAGUAGGAGACAGAAAGUGCCACAGAAAAUAUACCGCUCCGACUUGUCGGAGUAAGGGUGAAAACGUGAGGUAAGAGCUCACGGUCUUGCAUGGCGACAUGCAUUGCGGUAAACCUCGUGUGUUGAAAGACCAAAUAGGUUACGAAACUUGAAGGCUGCUCGUCUUCUUCCGACCUUUCGGAAUUCGUAAUGGGUAGGUUGAUCGAGCUUGUGUGCAAAUGCAAGCCUAGAUAAAUGAUAGAAAUCCACUCGCUUUAAGCGAUGGAUACAGAACCCGGCUUACAAGGUUUGCUUCUUU
rnacentral:RNase_P_RNA from 1 species